rnacentral:rRNA from 1 species
GACGAACGCUGGCGGCGUGCUUAACACAUGCAAGUCGAACGGAAAGGCCCUGCUUUUGUGGGGUGCUCGAGUGGCGAACGGGUGAGUAACACGUGAGUAACCUGCCCUUGACUUUGGGAUAACUUCAGGAAACUGGGGCUAAUACCGGAUAGGAGCUCCUGCUGCAUGGUGGGGGUUGGAAAGUUUCGGCGGUUGGGGAUGGACUCGCGGCUUAUCAGCUUGUUGGUGGGGUAGUGGCUUACCAAGGCUUUGACGGGUAGCCGGCCUGAGAGGGUGACCGGCCACAUUGGGACUGAGAUAAGGCCCCGACUCCUACGGGAGGCAGCAGUGGGGAAUAUUGCACAAUGGGCGGAAGCCUGAUGCAGCAACGCCGGGUGCGGGAUGAAGGCCUUCGGGUUGUAAACCGCUUUCGCCUGUGACGAAGCGUGAGUGACGGUAAUGGGUAAAGAAGCACCGGCUAACUACGUG